GACGAACGCUGGCGGCGUGCUUAACACAUGCAAGUCGAACGGAAAGGCCCUGCUUGCAGGGUACUCGAGUGGCGAACGGGUGAGUAACACGUGGGUGAUCUGCCCUGCACUUCGGGAUAAGCCUUGGAAACUGGGUCUAAUACCGGAUAGGAGCCAUUUUUAGUGUGAUGGUUGGAAAGUUUUUUCGGUGUAGGAUGAGCUCGCGGCCUAUCAGCUUGUUGGUGGGGUAAUGGCCUACCAAGGCGGCGACGGGUAGCCGGCCUGAGAGGGUGGACGGCCACAUUGGGACUGAGAUACGGCCCAGACUCCUACGGGAGGAAGCAGUGGGGAAUAUUGCACAAUGGGCGCAAGCCUGAUGCAGCGACGCCGCGUGGGGGAUGACGGCCUUCGGGUUGUAAAAUCCGUUCGCUAGGGACGAAGCUUUUUGUGACGGUACCUAGAUAAGAAGCACCGGCUAACUACGUG
rnacentral:rRNA from 1 species